rnacentral:lncRNA from 1 species
GAGAAAAGAGUUAUCACAAAUUUACUGAAAAUGUCACUGAUUCCAAGAAUGUUCGGCGAUCGACGAAGCAGCGUCUUUGAUCCAUUCUCAAUCGACCUAUGGGAUCCCUUCAGGGAAUUGGGCUUUCCAGGUUCCAAUUCACGGGAGACCUCUGCAUUCGCUCACACUCGAGUCGAUUGGAAGGAAACUCCGGAGGCUCAUGUGUUCAAGGCCGAUCUCCCCGGGCUUAAGAAGGAGGAAGUGAAAGUCGAGAUCGAAGAUGAUAGGGUUCUUCAAAUAAGCGGCGAGA